CCCCCCCCCUCCAAUUAUCGUGCUAGCUACGGCACUGCGUUUCGCUCUCAUGAGAAAUUUGAUUAUAAGAGGCUGUUUAUAUGGUCUCGCUUACCCGAGAUUCAAUGAAGUGUAACGUAUUUUGAUCGAGCAAUUAAAAUACGUGUUUCAGCCCUAAACAAAAGUUAGAUAACUUUAAAUAUUUUUUAAACGAAAUUAGGAAUGCGCCCGAAGUUAAUAUGUAGUGAAAGAAGACGAUUAAUAGCAUUCAACAACAUUUGGUUUUUUGCUUAAGACAUGGAAUUUCAUACAAUUUGUAACGAGCAAUUUUGUUACAUCAUGAAGUGCGACUACUUU